rnacentral:rRNA from 1 species
GAUGAACGCUGGCGGCGUGCCUAAUACAUGCAAGUCGAGCGAACAGACGAGGAGCUUGCUCCUCUGACGUUAGCGGCGGACGGGUGAGUAACACGUGGAUAACCUACCUUUAAGACUGGGAUAACUUCGGGAAACCGGAGCUAAUACCGGAUAAUAUAUUGAACCGCAUGUUUCAAUAGUGAAAGACGGUUUUGCUGUCAUUUAUAGAUGGAUCCGCGCCGCAUUAGCUAGUUGGUAAGGUAACGGCUUACCAAGGCAACGAUGCGUAGCCGACCUGAGAGGGUGAUCGGCCACACUGGAACUGAGAAACGGUCCAGACUCCUACGGGAGGCAGCAGUAGGGAAUCUUCCGCAAUGGGCGAAAGCCUGACGGAGCAACGCCGCGUGAGUGAGGAAGGUCUUCGGAUCGUAAAACUCUGUUAUUGGGGAAGAACAAAUGUGUAAGUAACAAUGCACGUCUUGACGGUACCUAAUCAGAAAGCCACGGCUAACUACGUG